rnacentral:lncRNA from 1 species
ACAACCAACAUCGGCAUCCCCCAAUGCUACCAACCCAAAAAUAAUAUCACCUGUCCUUACUCCACCACCUUAUCUUGAAGCUCUCUUAUACCUUUAACCUGUAUACCUAAACCACACGCGUUUCCCCAUAAGACACACCCUAAUACUUAACACACCCACACUGGUAACGUUCCCUUGCCAACUACCAAAUUUACAGCAGCUAUACCAACCU